rfam:Monodelphis domestica chromosome 1, whole genome shotgun sequence.
CCUCUGGUUUUUUUUAAAACCACACCACUCACCAUUUCUUUUAGCAU